CCUACGGGCUGCAGCAGUCGAGAAUCAUUCACAAUGGGGGAAACCCUGAUGGUGCGACGCCGCGUGGGGGAAUGAAGGUCUUCGGAUUGUAAACCCCUGUCAUGUGGGAGCAAAUUAAAAAGAUAGUACCACAAGAGGAAGAGACGGCUAACUCUGUGCCAGCAGCCGCGGUAAUACAGAGGUCUCAAGCGUUGUUCGGAAUCACUGGGCGUAAAGCGUGCGUAGGCUGUUUCGUAAGUCGUGUGUGAAAGGCGCGGGCUCAACCCGCGGACGGCACAUGAUACUGCGAGACUAGAGUAAUGGAGGGGGAACCGGAAUUCUCGGUGUAGCAGUGAAAUGCGGAGAUAUCGAGAGGAACACUCGUGGCGAAGGCGGGUUCCUGGACAUUAACGGACGCUGAGGCACGAAGGCCAGGGGAGCGAAAGGGAUUAGAUACCCGUGUAGUC
rnacentral:rRNA from 1 species